rnacentral:rRNA from 12 species
UAUUCAAAAGAGAACUUUGAAGACUGAAGUGGAGAAAGGUUUCAUGUGAACAGCAAUUGGACAUGAGUGAGUCGGUCCUAAGAGAUAGCUUAAAUGCGUUCUGAUAUGGUUUGUUUUCUUUCUUUUGAAAAAAUAAGCCGACGAUCGAAAGGGAAUCAGGUUAAGAUUCCUGAACAAGGGAAGUGUAUGCAAAAUGUGGUAACACUUGUAGCAGUUUGGAGACAUCAGCAGAAACCCCGGGAAGAGUUCUCUUUUCUUUUUGACGUUAUGUUGUGUGGUGUUCCCUGGAAUCAAUUUGGUUGGCGAUAGGGAAUACGUGCGCGGUAGAGCGGCGCUUUGUUGAGUGUCGUCCGGUGCGUUUUUGAUGAUCCAUGAAAAUCCGAAUGUUAGUGUCUUGGAAGUAUAAACACCCCUUGCCGUACUGAUAACCGCAACAGGUCUCCAAGGUGUGAAGCCUCUAGUUGAUAGAAGAAUGUAGAUAAGGGAAGUCGG